GCCCAGGUAGCUCAGUUGGUAGAGCACAGCUUUCGUAAAGCUGGGGUCGCCGGUUCGAGCCCGGCCCUGGGCU
rnacentral:tRNA from 1 species